CCUACGGGAGGCAGCAGUGGGGAAUAUUGGACAAUGGGCGAAAGCCUGAUCCAGCAAUGCCGCGUGAGUGAAGAAGGCCUUCGGGUUGUAAAGCUCUUUUACCCGGGAAGAUAAUGACUGUACCGGGAGAAUAAGCUCCGGCUAACUCCGUGCCAGCAGCCGCGGUAAUACGGAGGGAGCUAGCGUUGUUCGGAAUUACUGGGCGUAAAGCGUACGUAGGCGGCUUGGUAAGUCAGAGGUGAAAGCCCACGACUCAAUCGUGGAACUGCCUUUGAGACUGCUUCGCUUGAAGAUGGGAGAGGUUAGUGGAAUUCCGAGUGUAGAGGUGAAAUUCGUAGAUAUUCGGAAGAACACCAGUGGCGAAGGCGGCUAACUGGACCAUUCUUGACGCUGAGGUACGAAAGCGUGGGGAGCAAACAGGAUUAGAUACCCUGGUAGUCCACGCCGUAAACGAUGAUAACUAGCUGUCGGGGCUCUUGGAGCUUCGGUGGCGCAGCUACGCAUUAAGUUAUCGUCCGUCGGGUAGGUACGGCCGCGACGUUAAACGUACAAUAGAAUAGACGGCGUGAGACGNGCCGACGACGACGACGACGGGAGUAGG
rnacentral:rRNA from 1 species